rnacentral:rRNA from 1 species
UACGUAGGUGGCAAGCGUUGUCCGGAUUCACUGGGCGUAAAGCGCGUGUAGGCGGUUCGGUAAGUCUGCUGUGAAAGUCGGGGGCUCAACCCUCGAAUGCCGGUGGAUACUGUCGGACUAGAGUGCGGAAGAGGCGAGUGGAAUUCCUGGUGUAGCGGUGAAAUGCGCAGAUAUCAGGAGGAACACCAAUUGCGAAGGCAGCUCGCUGGGACGUUACUGACGCUGAGACGCGAAAGCGUGGGGAGCAAACAGG